AAACCAGCACCUCAAGUGGUCAGGAGGAUUAUUGGGCCUAAAGCAUCCGUAGCCUGUUCUAUAAGUUUCCGGUUAAAUCCAUUAGCUCAACUAAUGGGCUGCCGGAAAUACUGUAGAACUAGGGAGUGGGAGAGGUAGACGGUAUUCGGUAGGAAGGGGUAAAAUCCUUUGAUCUAUUGAGGACCACCUGUGGCGAAGGCGGUCUACCAGAACACGUUCGACGGUGAGGGAUGAAAGCUGGGGGAGCAAACCGGAUUAGAAACCCCAGUAGUCC
rnacentral:rRNA from 1 species